CGGGAGGUUUGAAUUUGAAGACAGGCGGUAAGACGAUGACAGCACCUGUCGGCAGGCCAGGCCAGGCUUCUCCCGAGUGGGGGGACGCUGGAACUGUGGCUUGCCCUGAUUGUUCGAAAAGGGUUUGCCAUGAAUCUUCUGCGUCGGAGUGGGAAACGGCGGCAUUCAGAGUCAGGUUCAGAUUCGUUGUCGGGAAGCGGCAGUGACAGCAGUGCCAGCCUCCAGCUCCUCUCCCGGACCGUGCUGAGCCCGCCGCCGGGCCUGGGUCGCUGCCUGAAGGACCGUGGCCGUCAGUCAGCCGCAAAUGCAGGAAAGUGCAAGCCUACCGCUCCCGACUGCCAAAUAGACAAGCUACUAUUGGCAAAUUGGGAACUUCCUAAAGCAGUUCUGGAAAAAUACCACAGUUUUGGUGUAAAAAAGAUGUUUGAAAUGGCAGGCAGAGUGCCUUUUGCUCGGACAAGUCCUGGAAGGAAGAAUUUAGUCUAUUCAGGUAUCCAAAUUUAUGUAAACUAAUUACUAUUUUUAAGAUAUGAUUCAAAGAGCACUCCAUUGGAGUAGUUAUGGUUCUUUUAAAAGGUGAAUGAGGCAGUGCUUUAAAACUAGAGAAAAUCUUAAAAUAUGUGUGAAAAGUAGAGUUUUAUUAUAUGACUAUGCGUGGGGAAGCAAGAAAAAUGACAAUUUAAAGAGUGGGCAAUUCCACUUGCCAUCAUCAUGCUCAACAUACAUAUAUCCC
rnacentral:lncRNA from 1 species